GUUCCGUUAGGUCAAUAGGAUAGACCAGAGGCCUUCUAAGCCCCUAAUGUGGGUUCGAGUCCCAUGCGGAACG
rnacentral:tRNA from 2 species